GACGAACGCUGGCGGCGUGCUUAACACAUGCAAGUCGAACGGAAAGGCCCUGCUGUUGUGGGGUGCUCGAGUGGCGAAAGGGUGAGUAACACGUGAGUAACCUGCCCUUGACUUUGGGAUAACUUCAGGAAACUGGGGCUAAUACCGGAUAGGAGCUCCUGCUGCAUGGUGGGGGUUGGAAAGUUUCGGCGGUUGGGGAUGGACUCGCGGCUUAUCAGCUUGUUGGUGGGGUAGUGGCUUACCAAGGCUUUGACGGGUAGCCGGCCUGAGAGGGUGACCGGCCACAUUGGGACUGAGAUACGGCACAGACUCCUACGGGAGGCAGCAGUGGGGAAUAUUGCACAAUGGGCGGAAGCAUGAUGCAGCAAAGCCGCGUGCGGGAUGACGGCCUUCGGGUUGUAAACCGCUUUCGCCUGUGACGAAGCGUGAGUGACGGUAAUGGGUAAAGAAGCACCGGCUAACUACGUG
rnacentral:rRNA from 1 species